rnacentral:tRNA from 1 species
UCCUACAUGUUCUAGUGGGUUACGGAUUCCUGGCUUUCACCCAGGACGGCCCGGGUUCGAUUCCCGGUGUAGGAA